rnacentral:rRNA from 1 species
GAUGAACGCUGGCGGCGUGCCUAAUACAUGCAAGUCGAGCGAACAGACGAGGAGCUUGCUCCUUUGACGUUAGCGGCGGACGGGUGAGUAACACGUGGGUAACCUACCUAUAAGACUGGGAUAACUUCGGGAAACCGGAGCUAAUACCGGAUAAUAUUUCGAACCGCAUGGUUCGAUAGUGAAAGAUGGCUUUGGUAUCACUUAUAGAUGGACCUGCGCCGUAUUAGCUAGUUGGUAAGGUAACGGCUUACCAAGGCAACGAUACGUAGCCGACCUGAGAGGGUGAUCGGCCACACUGGAACUGAGACACGGUCCAGACUCCUACGGGAGGCAGCAGUAGGGAAUCUUCCGCAAUGGGCGAAAGCCUGACGGAGCAACGCCGCGUGAGUGAUGAAGGUCUUCGGAUCGUAAAACUCUGUUAUUAGGGAAGAACAAACGUGUAAGUAACUGUGCACGUCUUGACGGUACCUAAUCAGAAAGCCACGGCUAACUACGUG